rnacentral:rRNA from 1 species
ACCAGACUCCUACGGGAGGCAGCAGUGGGGAAUAUUGCACAAUGGGGGAAACCCUGAUGCAGCGACGCCGCGUGAGUGAAGAAGUAUUUCGGUAUGUAAAGCUCUAUCAGCAGGGAAGAAAAAAGACGGUACCUGACUAAGAAGCCCCGGCUAACUACGUGCCAGCAGCCGCGGUAAUACGUAGGGGGCAAGCGUUAUCCGGAAUUACUGGGUGUAAAGGGUGCGUAGGUGGCAUGGUAAGUCAGAAGUGAAAGCCCGGGGCUUAACCCCGGGACUGCUUUUGAAACUGUCAUGCUGGAGUGCAGGAGAGGUAAGCGGAAUUCCUAGUGUAGCGGUGAAAUGCGUAGAUAUUAGGAGGAACACCAGUGGCGAAGGCGGCUUACUGGACUGUCACUGACACUGAUGCACGAAAGCGUGGGGAGCAAACAGGAUUAGAUACCCCUGUA